AGGCGGGGAGAUAGCGGUGCCCUGAACUCGCAAUCCGCUCUAGCGAGGCUGAAUUCCUCCCUGAGGUCUUCUUUGCGCAGCCUCUGUUGGCGGUUUCUGAUGUUGAGAGUUGGGUCCUGCGCGGCGGAAGCCUGCGAACUCCGUCAGGUUCGGAAGAAAGCAGCGGUAAGCAGAUACUCUCGGGCGCCGUAGGGAAGCCUGAUUAGAGCCAUGCUAAUUGUAUAUGUUGUUUCUUCCCAUCAAAGAAAGGUGCACGG
rnacentral:SRP_RNA from 1 species